UCCACCUCUACUUACUGGCUGCUCAGAGAAUGACAGACAGCAGUAAACAGGCAGUUUAACACGAUGGCCUCCAGCAGCUUCAGACUACUGCUUUUAACUCUCUGCUGGGCAGGAGCUCGUAGUCAGACUCUGACUGAGUCUGAUCCUGUGGUCAAAAAGCCAGGAGAGUCCCACACAUUGACCUGCACAGGCUCUGGAAUCACACUGAGCAGCGAGUAUAUGGCCUGGAUCAGACAGGCUCCUGGGAAAGGACUGGAGUGGAUUGCCUGGCAUGACAGCAGCAGUGGCAGCAGAAGAUUUUACUCUGAGUCAGUCCGGGGCCGCUUCACCAUCUCCAGAGACGACAGCAGAAAUCAGCUGCUUCUGCAGAUGAACAGUCUAAAAAUGGAAGAUUCUGCUGUUUAUUACUGUGCCAGAGACACACGCUGUACUGUCCUCUUCAUCGUCCUGAUCGGGCUCCUCACCCUCAUGCAAACAGAUUCAUGUCUCUGA